rnacentral:rRNA from 1 species
GACGAACGCUGGCGGCGUGCCUAAUACAUGCAAGUUGAGCGCUGAAGGUUGGUACUUGUACCAACUGGAUGAGCAGCGAACGGGUGAGUAACGCGUGGGGAAUCUGCCUUUGAGCGGGGGACAACAUUUGGAAACGAAUGCUAAUACCGCAUAAAAACUUUAAACACAAGUUUUAAGUUUGAAAGAUGCAAUUGCAUCACUCAAAGAUGAUCCCGCGUUGUAUUAGCUAGUUGGUGAGGUAAAGGCUCACCAAGGCGAUGAUACAUAGCCGACCUGAGAGGGUGAUCGGCCACAUUGGGACUGAGACACGGCCCAAACGCCUACGGGAGGCAGCAGGAGGGAAUCUUCGGCAAUGGACGGAAGUCUGACCGAGCAACGCCGCGGGAGUGAAGAAGGUUGUCGGAUCGUAAAACUCUGUUGGUAGGGAAGAACGUUGGUGAGAGUGGAAAGCUCAUCAAGUGACGGUAACUACCCAGAAAGGGACGGCUAACUACGUG